rnacentral:rRNA from 1 species
UACGAAGGGGGCUAGCGUUGCUUGGAAUCACUGGGCGUAAAGGGUGCGUAGGCGGGUCUUUAAGUCAGGGGUGAAAUCCUGGAGCUCAACUCCAGAACUGCCUUUGAUACUGAAGAUCUUGAGUUCGGGAGAGGUGAGUGGAACUGCGGAGUGUAGAGGUGAAAUUCGUAGAUAUUCGCAAGAACAUCAGUGGCGAAGGCGGCUCACUGGCCCGAUACUGACGCUGAGGCACGAAAGCGUGGGGAGCAAACAGGG